rnacentral:rRNA from 1 species
GACGAACGCUGGCGGCGUGCUUAACACAUGCCAGUCGAACGGAAAGGCCCUGCUUUUGUGGGGUGCUCGAGUGGCGAACGGGUGAGUAACACGUGAGUAACCUGCCCUUGACUUUGGGAUAACUUCAGGAAACUGGGGCUAAUACCGGAUAGGAGCUCCUGCUGCAUGGUGGGGGUUGGAAAGUUUCGGCGGUUGGGGAUGGACUCGCGGCUUAUCAGCUUGUUGGUGGGGUAGUGGCUUACCAAGGCUUUGACGGGUAGCCGGCCUGAGAGGGUGACCGGCCACAUUGGGACUGAGAUACGGCCCAGACUCCUACGGGAGGCAGCAGUGGGGAAUAUUGCACAAUGGGCGGAAGCCUGAUGCAGCAACGCCGCGUGCGGGAUGACGGCCUUCGGGUGGUAAACCGCUUUCGCCUGUGACGAAGCGUGAGUGAGGUAAUGGGUAAAGAAGCACCGGCUAACUACGUG